rnacentral:rRNA from 1 species
GAUGAACGCUGGCGGCGUGCCUAAUACAUGCAAGUCGAGCGAACAGACGAUGAGCUUGCUCCUCUGACGUUAGCGGCGGACGGGUGAGUAACACGUGGAUAACCUACCUAUAAGACUGGGAUAACUUCGGGAAACCGGAGCUAAUACCGGAUAAUAUAUUGAACCGCAUGGUUCAAUAGUGAAAGACGGUUUUGCUGUCACUUAUAGAUGGAUCCGCGCCGCAUUAGCUAGUUGGUAAGGUAACGGCUUACCAAGGCAACGAUGCGUAGCCGACCUGAGAGGGUGAUCGGCCACACUGGAACUGAGACACGGUCCAGACUACUACGGGAGGCAGCAGUAGGGAAUCUUCCGCAAUGGGCGAAAGCCUGACGGAGCAACGCCGCGUGAGUGAUGAAGGUCUUCGGAUCGUAAAACUCUGUUAUUAGGGAAGAGCAAAUGUGUAAGUAACUAUGCACGUCUUGACGGUACCUAAUCAGAAAGCCACGGCUAACUACGUG